rnacentral:rRNA from 1 species
UACAGAGGUCCCAAGCGUUGUUCGGAUUCACUGGGCGUAAAGGGUGCGUAGGUGGUCGGGUAAGUCUGAUGUGAAAUCUCCGGGCCUAACCCGGAAACUGCAUCGGAUACUGUUCGGCUAGAGGGUUGGAGGGGGGACUGGAAUACUUGGUGUAGCAGUGAAAUGCGUAGAUAUCAAGUGGAACACCAGUGGCGAAGGCGAGUCCCUGGACAACUCCUGACACUGAGGCACGAAAGCUAGGGGAGCAAACAGG